UACGAAGGGGGCUAGCGUUGUUCGGAUUUACUGGGCGUAAAGCGCGUGUAGGCGGGCCGUUAAGUUGGGGGUGAAAGCCCGAGGCUCAACCUCGGAACUGCCUUCAAAACUGGCGGCCUGGAGCAGAUGAGAGGCGAGUGGAAUUCCGAGUGUAGAGGUGAAAUUCGUAGAUAUUCGGAGGAACACCAGUGGCGAAGGCGACUCGCUGGCAUCUUGCUGACGCUGAGACGCGAAAGCGUGGGGAGCAAACGGG
rnacentral:rRNA from 1 species